CAGACACAGCUGUAUAGUCCUGACUGGGGAUCCUUAAGGAACCAACAGGCUCAGACACAGCUGUAUAGAACCAACGGGCUCAGACACAGCUGUAUAGUCCUGACUGGGGAUCCUUAAGGAACCAACAGGCUCAGACACAGCUGUAUAGUCCUGACUGGGGAUCCUUAAGGAACCAACAGGCUCAGACACAGCUGUAUAGAACCAACGGGCUCAGACACAGCUGUAUAGUCCUGACUGGGGAUCCUUAAGGAACCAAC